AUAACCCUCAUCUUAUUGUAUGAUUUUCAGAGUUAAAUGAAAGAAACCCGGCAUCUGGGAUAGGGAAGCAGAGGGAGCGACAGUUAGCUGUAAUUGUUCGUAGGGAAGGCCAGCAGGUUGGCCUGGCCAGAGCAUGGGUUCCCACGGGCUCCACGGGGUGGAAGAACUUUCUGGAGCGUGUUCCUAAUACUGAUUUUUCUUCUCCAUGUGUACACAACUCGUAGGUUUAGAUUUAGUUACAUUGGGUGAAAAGAG
rnacentral:lncRNA from 10 species